CCCGUUCCCGUUCCCGGGGCGACGAAGCAGGCGUGCCCCCCUGCCCGCACCUCCGCCGUGCUCCGGACGCCGUGCCCGCAACGUACCCGCAGCCGUACGGUCGAGGAACGCGCACUCGUGCGCUGGGCGCGCACAGAAAGUUCUGGGAGCGGAGCGUGCGGGGCUGCCGUGAGCAGAGCAGCGCGGCGGGCACUGCCCCUGCGGUGAUGGACUUAAGGGAGAGUGAGAACGCUGUGCAACGGCAAUGAGGGUGAGGAAACGGGGGAGAAACAGCCCUGUGGGCAUCCGAGUGAGGGCAGAAGAUGGUCCGGGCGCAGAGCAGCAGCUCCCUGCAGCCCAGGAGAGGCCCACGGUGGAGCAGGCUGUCCCUCCACAGCCCACGGGCACCACACGGAGCAGAUCUCCCUUUGCUGCCAUGGGGGAACCUGUGGUGCAGCAGUGGAUGUGGGCUGAAGGAGAUGCAGCCCACGGAGCCCCACAGGAGCAGGGCCUGGGCCGGAGCUGCAGCCCGUGGAGAAGAGCUGCAGGGAGCAGAGGGACCGGGGGAGCUGAAGCAGCACCCAGAGGAUGGGCCCCAUGGUAUCGAGCCACAGCAGAGCAAUGCUUGGAGCUGCAGCCCAUGGGAAGGCCAUGUGGGAUCAGUUCGGGAAGGACAGCAUCCAUGGGAGGGGCCUUUGAUGGUAUCAGGAAGAAAACCACCAUAAAGCCAGACAGUAAAAACCUCAACGCCUUCAACGUACAUUUAAGAUGCACUUAACUUGUGGGAUGAGGGCUGUCCAGCACUGCUCCACGUGGCUGCAGAGCAGGAGCUCAAGAGCCAGGAGCCCACAGCAGUUUAAGUGCUCACCUGCGUAGGGUCACCGGGCACUGCAGGACCGCCCCUGCUCAGCAUUUCUUUGCUUACUUCAGUAUAAGCACUGCUCAGUCUCUUCUCCCAGGAACCACAUCUGACUGAAGGACAAACACCAGAGGAAUCUCAGGAGGAAGAGAGAUACAGAAGAAAUGUGAGGAGGCACAAAAACAACAAAAGUCUUUGAUAUUACAAGAGAUGCAGACAGACAGCAUAAUUUAACGAAUGACCACAGAAAGCAGCAACCUCAGGUUAAAAUAUUUUUAUUAUAAAAUACAUAUUUACAUGUGAAGGCACUUUAAACCGUUACAGAAGUUUCACAUACACAGUUUCAGCUGUUCGGUAAGAACAAAAAUGUUUUUUUGUACGGUCACCUACACAGGUGAAAAAUCUGAACUGCAUCCAGUUGUAGCACAUCCAUUUUUCUACUGAAGAAACACUGUGCUUAAUGACACCAGUGAGGAUCUCAGCACCAUCAGCUCUCUGCCAUUCCAGAGAAGGCCGCAGGAGUGCGGGAGGCAUACAUGUGGUAGGAAGAGAUGGAGGGGGAUGCAGGUUGAGGAUCCUUGAGGCCCCUUCCAACCCAAGGGAUCAUCAACGAUCUUCAAGGGAUGCUACAUCACAACCGAAUCAGCUACAUUCUUACCAUGCAAUACUGCUGAAAAACCUAACUCUGUUAAGACUGAGCUUACAUUCAUCAAUGAAGGCUGCAAUCAUCCUGCAAGUAAGGCUAAAUUGGGAUUCCUCAUUUCCCCUGCAGUCCAGGAGGCUUCCAGGGACUGGGUUAUGCAUUGAAGGCAUGUGGUUGUAACAGCAGAGAUGAGUGGAUCAAGAUGAAAGUUUGUUUCUAUUGUACAUUUUGUCUCACAAUCUGAAGACAAAUACUCAAACUGAGUAAAAUUAAAGGAACUGAAGAAUCUGC